rnacentral:rRNA from 1 species
CAGCCGCCGCGGUAAUACGUAGGUGGCAAGCGUUGUCCGGAAUUAUUGGGCGUAAAGCGCGCGCAGGCGGAUAGGUCAGUCUGUCUUAAAAGUUCGGGGCUUAACCCCGUGAUGGGAUGGAAACUGCCAAUCUAGAGUACCGGAGAGGAAAGUGGAAUUCCUAGUGUAGCGGUGAAAUGCGUAGAUAUUAGGAAGAACACCAGUGGCGAAGGCGACUUUCUGGACGAAAACUGACGCUGAGGCUCGAAAGCGUGGGGAGCAAACAGGAUUAGAUACCCGCGUAGUCCCUGUCUCUUAUACA